rfam:Ascaris suum AG14240, whole genome shotgun sequence.
GGUGAGAUGGCCGAGCGGUCUAAGGCGGCGGUUUAAGGCACAAGUCUCUUCGGAGGCGUGGGUUCGAAUCCCACUCUCGUCA